rnacentral:rRNA from 1 species
GACGAGCGCUGGCGGCGUGCUUAACACAUGCAAGUCGAACGGAAAGGCCCUGCUUUUGUGGGGUGCUCGAGUGGCGAACGGGUGAGUAACACGUGAGUAACCUGCCCUUGACUUUGGGAUAACUUCAGGAAACUGGGGCUAAUACCGGAUAGGAGCUCCUGCUGCAUGGUGGGGGUUGGAAAGUUUCGGCGGUUGGGGAUGGACUCGCGGCUUAUCAGCUUGUUGGUGGGGUAGUGGCUUACCAAGGCUUUGACGGGUAGCCGGCCUGAGAGGGUGACCGGCCACAUUGGGACUGAGAUACGGCCCAAACUCCUACGGGAGGCAGCAGUGGGGAAUAUUGCACAAUGGGCGGAAGCCUGAUGCAGCAACGCCGCGUGCGGGAUGACGGCCUUCGGGUUGUAAACCGCUUUCGCCUGUGACGAAGCGUGAGUGACGGUAAUGGGUAAAGAAGCACCGGCUAACUACGUG